AACCAAAUUGCGCAACCGACUGCAAAUAGAAACUUUAAAUGCGAUUUUAUCGAUCAGGUUUGGGCUACGCCGGAAAGGCGUAUGUUGCCAUGAAUAUGAAAUUCCUGAGAAAUAUUUAAAAAUGAUUGGAAGCAACCAAUCUACAAAAAUCAAAGUUUAGAAGUUUGCAAUGAUGACAUUGACGAUGUUCUAAACGAGUUGGCAAGCAAUAAAGAGUGAUAUUACAUAAAAUCCUUUUUCUGUAACGAGCUGACGGCAACACUGGUGCUCAUACAGAUGGAUCAGCAGACAGACAGACUGACCUGGCUAUAUUGUCUCGGUACUUUAUAGAGUCGGAGAUGCCUCCUUCUGCCAUUUCGUGCCGUAGCAAAAUUAUAAUACCCUUCUACCCUAUGGGUAGCAGGUGAAAGUGAAAAGACAUUAGAAUAGGACAAGUGCAACGUAAUGUGAAACUCAAAAGAGAGCUACCGAAAUGUUGGUUAGCUUGUCAGUUUUGAAAUUGUCAACCUUAUAGCUCGAUCAAAUUUUGUGAUUUCUAACCAGUUUCAGCGAUCAUAUAAAAGAAUUAAUUAGUAUAUAGCUACUGAUAGUAAAAGACAUUCCUAAGAUUCGUAAUAAUAACUAAAUUAAAACCGGAUCAUUUGGAGUACUUAUUUUAAAAUUUUUUAUUUGUAUUGAUUCUUUUUUCACACAUAUAUACUAUAUGUUCGCUUGCUUUCAACCGACUUAAAUUAAAAGCUUAAAUGUAAUAAGUACUAUGUUAUAUGUAUAUAAAUACGCUGUGCUACAUUUAAAACCUAAGAUUUAGUCCUCUUUUCUUUUAUUUUACCAAUCUCUGUAAAAUUAUACAUUAAAACUUGAAAUAUUUCAGUUGUCAGUUGGAUAGAAUAAUACUGUAUAUAGUGUGGCAGCGGUGAAUCUGACUGAGUGUGGUUGUGUAACUGUUUAAAUGUCUAUACAAUUCAUGUUUGCUUAAUUUUUGGUUUUUAUGCUUGGGAGGAUAAUCAAUUGGCGCAUGGCUGGUAAAUAUUUCAAUAAAUGACAAACAAAAUUAUAAAUAGAAAAACUAUGAUGGUUAACAUUCAAUUCUAUUUACGUAUAUUUGAAUAGGCACGUGUGUCUUUAAACAACACAUUGUUAAAGAGGACUGCAUGUUUUAUGACUUACAAAUUUGUACAUAAUCAGAUGGUUGUAUUUUAUGUUUUUUGUAUUCAAGUUGUAUGCCAAUUUUAGAAGAACACUGUACUGUAUUCUAAGUUGAAUUUAUAAUAUAUAACAUAAUUUCGCAAUUUUCCUUAAUACAUUUUUCUGAAAGUUGAUAAAAGCGGUGGAGCAUAACAACGUUUUCGACUGAGCAAUGCACUUAAUCAGUAGUCUUAUUAUGCACGAUGCAGUAUACUUAUUAAAACCACAAUACUGAUUUACACCCCAAUGAUCAGAAUUAUAAGACUAAGAGAAAAAUUAAGUUGUAUGGUUCAAAAUAAAUAAUAUUAGUGAUAAUUUCAAUUAUUGUAAUAUAAUACAAAAUAUAUAUCAAAAAUUAAAGAUCUAUAAUACAACAUGGACACAGUUGUAUUAUUACGCACUGUAAUUGGAUACUUAUCGAGAAAGCUGUUCUGGGUUUUAAAAUAAUAUAAAUCAAGCAAUUUUAUAAAUUUUCAAGGUUUUGACGCUUGCCACAAGGUUUUUAAUGGUUUGUACAACUAAGUAUCUCUGCAAGAUCAAUGCACAUAAUUAAACUUUGUAAUUUAAGAUUUAUCUCUCACUUCAAUAACUCAUUAAAAGAUUAUUUGAGUAUUCAAAUAUGUUUUGGUUUUAUUGAGUUUUAAUGUGUACGGAAUUUUAUUGUAGUGUAUUAUAUGAAUAAUCUAAAUUUAAUACUAUUGUUGAAUGUGUAUGUGUAUAUAGUACUGCAUGAUUUUUAAUGUGUUCAAUGAAGUUCGAAGC